GACGAACGCUGGCGGCGUGCUUAACACAUGCAAGUCGAACGGAAAGGCCCUGCUUUUGUGGGGUGCUCGAGUGGCGAACGGGUGGGUAACACGUGAGUAACCUGCCCUUGACUUUGGGAUAACUUCAGGAAACUGGGGCUAAUACCGGAUAGGAGCUCCUGCUGCAUGGUGGGGGUUGGAAAGUUUCGGCGGUUGGGGAUGGACUCGCGGCUUAUCAGCUUGUUGGUGGGGUAGUGGCUUACCAAGGCUUUGACGGGUAGCCGGCCUGAGAGGGUGACCGGCCACAUUGGGACUGAGAUACGGCCCAGACUCCUACGGGAGGCAGCAGUGGGGAAUAUUGCACAAUGGGCGGAAGCCUGAUGCAGCAACGCCGCGUGCGGGAUGGCGGCCUUCGGGUUGUAAACCGCUUUCGCCUGUGACGAAGCGUGAGUGACGGUAAUGGGUAAAGAAGCACCGGCUAACUACGUG
rnacentral:rRNA from 1 species